UUUUAUGCUGACUUAGCACAAAUAAUGCUGACUCAGCAGUAAAAUAACUGGAUCUAAAACCAUAAUCCUGAUCCUAGCUAGCUAGCUAUGGCUGAACGUGACAGUGCCAAGAGAAAGCUAUUUCAACAGUUUUCAACUCCUACUGCCAGUGUUGAUGUAACACCCAAGGCAGCCAACAUGAGAAGCGACCCCAGAGUCGAAUUCCCCUCAGGAGCAACACUAGAUCUAACCAGCUAGUCAUGGUUGAACACAGAGCCAAGAGAAAGCUAUUUCAACAGUUUUCAACUCCUAACUGCCAGUGUUGAUGUAAUAUGUACAGUAACACCCAAGGCAGCCAAGGCCAAGCAGCAUGAGAAGCGACCCCAGAGUCGAAUUCCCCUCAGGAGCAACACUAGAUCUAUUAAACCAGCUGGUCAUGGUUGAACACAGAGCUAGAGCUAUUGAUGAAACAAAGCAAUGUCGACAGUUGUCCACUCCUACUGCCAGUGUUUAUGUAAUAUGUACACCCGUACCCAGGGCGGCCAAGGCCAAGCAGCAUGAGAAGCGACCCCAGAGUCGAAUUCCGAGCAGCACUAACCAGCUAGCCAUGGCUGAACAUGUCGACAGAGCUAGAGCUAGUGGUGAAAGAAAGCGAUGUCGACAGUUGUCCACUCCUACUGGAAUAACACCCAAGCAGCAGGAGAAGCGACUCCGCAGUCGAAGACUUCCCCUCACAGUGAAAAACAGCACAAGCUCAGUUGCUCAACAAUCCGGUGCCUCGUGUACACCCUCUCCGGCUACUGCAUCGAAAUGGAAAUUAAAGGAAGAUAUAGCAAUUGUAAAGUUUAUUCUAUUAUCAACACCUAGCAAUAGUUGGCCUGCAAUGUCUGAGAAUUUCUGGAAGUCAGCUGCUCUGUUUGUACACCAAAGAAGCCGAGAACCAUUGCGAAGCAGUUUGGCGUGUAGCUCUCGAGUGAGGAAGGUUCUCAGCAAACACUACACAGCACCGAGGGAAGCAGAAACAGCUACACGUUCUAAACACCCUAGUACAACACCCCUCAUGACACUCCCUGCAAGAGUAUCUUCAGAGCCACGUACAAGCUCUGAGUAUCUCUUAUGUUGAUACUGGAGAAUGCCAGGUUAAUCUCGUAAUGGUUGACAAGUUUCAGAACUUCAAACGGCAGGUUCUAAACCUUCCACCUGCAGACCAGCUGAAAUUAAUCAGUGAGCUGUUUUGUGAACUCGCUACCAGCUUCUAUAAAGUUGCCGUGGAUGGUAACUUUCUUGAGUUGACACUGCUUGCAAUGAAGCACUUGGACUCAAGUGAACGUAUUGUAUCAUCUUGCCAAAGGAUUAGGUACACUCCGACCUAACUCUAACGAGUCACGCUUUCCAGUAUCAAGGAUGCCUUUUGGGUUACUUCAGUACAUGACGACUUUUUUUACUUCUACAAAUACAACUCAUGCUGUGUGUUAAGAAGGUUACGAGAAGUGGCUUGUUAGCAUGUACUCUCUAUUGGGACUAAGUUCUCAAAAAUGCUAUGUGGUCCAAUGUGGAGUCAGGUCUCAACAUCUCAAACUGGACAAGAAAACGUAGUUUUUUUGGAUCCCAUACAGGCUCGAGUGAAUGUACCUGCCCUAGGUGAGCGCACAAUGAGAAGGCACAUUGUGAAUACCCAGUUCUCUAAUUCUUGGAACAUAUUCGGUAAAUUUGAUUUUCUGAAGUUUCUUUAUAAUAUUUUUCAGAUGGCUACACUAGACCAUGCUGUAGAGGUGCAUCCUGAGGCUAAAUGGUGGAUCAAGGCUGACGGUUGUGAUAUCGUGAGUGGUUUGGAGGAGUCUGUACGGCUUGAAUGGAACGGAGAUGCUGUCCAGGAACUCUACCACAUGUAUCGUACACGUCGUUCUGCAAUUGAUAUGCUUUGCACAAACCAGUCCAUAGCUGAUAGACGUCCAGCCCACAACCAAUCAGGGUUGAAAGAUUUCAUGAGGCAUUAUAUGAUGACGAGUCUGGACUAACAUACCCAGCAUUGACAGGCCAGAGAAAACAGUCAGUCCAAGAUGCAGAAAAUCUUUUCUCUGAGGGUGUUGAACUGUUAUGAGAAAAAAUAAAUAUGAGUAUGAAGAGAAGUACGUUAGAGUCAUCAGGAAUUGGAGGCGCUCUUGUGAUGAGCGAGGUCUGUCAUCUCUCCAGAGGUCAAAGUACAACUAUGACCUCCUGAAUCUCAUUUUAGAUGAGCUGAUGCCUUGGCAUACAGCCCAGUACGACUUCAGCUUGAUGGAAGUUACAAGGAAAGUAACUGUCCUAGGAUUCACCAGGGAGAUUGUGUAUGCCCUCACCACAGGAAUCGAAAGUGUUGAAUGGAAAAGACGAGAGUACGCCCAAACUGGAAGGCCAAUGGAGAAUCCCCGCUCAAGCACUACUGAUGAUGUUGAGUGCUGUUCUCAAUCAUGAGAGAUUUGACAGGAAAGCACUUUACCUUACGGCAAGCGAGGUACACCUGGAGGAAGGUGUGCAUCGAGUUUGACAAGAGGUCAGACUCAGCUCUGGGGUUUUAUUACUUUUCUUCAUCACAUGACCGCUUUUAUGAAGGAAGCAGACCGCACUUUGACGAGAAACCUUCAAAGAGGAAGAAACGUGUUCGAAGAAAAGAACAACCAGCUCACCUUAUGUAUGGAAGAGCAACACUCCCUGAAUCUGGUGCUCGUUCAACUAGGAUGACCUUCCAUAAUUUACCCAUUCCAAUGCCACCACCACUGGAAAGCACUCAACAUCACCUAUUUGAACACUCAUACGCUCAAUAAACUUCACUCCAACAUUAUACUUCUUAUUGUGUUCAAUUAAGCAAUAAUUUAUAUGAAAAUCAAAUUAUAAUUAUAUAUACAACACAACAAGGGAUUAAAAAGAU